GGAGAGAUGCCGGAGUGGUCGAACGGACCGCACUCGAAAUGCGGCAAGCGGGCAACUGCUUCCAGGGUUCGAAUCCCUGUCUCUCCG
rnacentral:tRNA from 1 species